rnacentral:rRNA from 1 species
CACGUAGGGCGCGAGCGUUGUCCGGAAUUAUUGGGCGUAAAGAGCUCGUAGGCGGCCUGUUGCGUCCGCUGUGAAAGCCCGGGGCUUAACCCCGGGUCGGCAGUGGAUACGGGCAGGCUAGAGGUAGGUAGGGGAGAAUGGAAUUCCCGGUGUAGCGGUGAAAUGCGCAGAUAUGGGGAGGAACACCGGUGGCGAAGGCGGUUCUCUGGGCCUUACCUGACGCUGAGGAGCGAAAGCGUGGGGAGCGAACAGG